CCUAGCUAAGCAGCCGUCUUCAAAAGCUUUUGUCGGGGUUUUCGGUCUAUCAAUCGAGGUCGGACCCAAUGCCGAGACCAAAUGGUUCAUCGUUAGAGUUCAUAGCAAUGAAAUUCAAAAUGCAUUGAAAUCUCAGGUUUUUCCCUUUUCUUUCUCUGGAAUAUAAUUCAGUUUCUGCUGCAUCGAACUCCUGGUUGUUCUCUGAAUUUUCAAGUCCAUGGAAGCACAAACCACCCCGAAACUGAAAAAUUAAGGAAGCUGAGAAGCAUCUGCCAGAUACGGUUGUGUCCAAGGUACUGGUGGCCAAGAUUGACCGGCCAAUAGGAAUAGUCUUUUUUCAAACUGCAAAGGAUAACAACAAUGUUCUUAAUUCGUGGGCUACGAACUUGGAGAAAUUGCUUGAUCUUGUUGAGAAGAGUUGCCACCAAAUACACAAAGAAACCAUGGUUCACAAGGUUGCUCUCAAGGUUUGAGAAUCACAAAUUUUAGGUAAGCCAUACCUAAUCUUUUAUUUCGCGUAUUAAAGAGUUCUUUGAUUCAAGCAUUUGGAUUAAACAUGUGUUUCACUGGGUUGACGAGGCAUAUGUAUCAAUUUAUUUCUUUU